ensembl:lncRNA
GAAAUUAUCUCCAGAAGCUGAAACCCUUUCAAGCAGCAGCAGACAAUAGACGCCAACCGUGUGUGUGUGUGUGUGUGUGAAACAGACUGCAGAUGCCAGAUAGGCCAUGUGUGUGAGAACUCUGAACUCAAACCAGGUGGGAUAAAUCAAAUCAAAUUUUAUUUGUAAUAUGCGCCGAAUACAACAGGUGUAGGUAGACCUUACCGUGAAAUGCUUACUUACAAGUCCUUAACCAACAAUGCAGUUCAAGAAAUAGAGUUAAGAAAAUAUUUAGUAAAUCAACUAAAGUGAAGAAAAAAAAAGAAAAAUAACACAAGAAUAUUACAAUAACGAGGGGGUACCGGUACCGAGUCAAUGUGUGGGGUUACAGGUUAGUCGAGGUCAUUUGUAAAGGGACUAUGCAUAGCUAAUAAACAGUGAUGAGCAUUAGUGUAAAAACAAAGGGGUUGAAUAGUCCGGGUGGCCAUUUGAUUAAUUGUUUAGCAGUCUUAUGGCUUGGUGGAAGAAGCUUUUAAGGAGCCUUUUGGUUCGAGACUUGGUGCUCCGGUACCGCUUGCCGUGUGGUAGCAGAGAGAACAGUCUAUGACUUGGUUGACUGGAGACAAUUCUUUGGGCCUUCCCCUGACACCGCCUAGUAUAUAGGCCCUGGAUGGCAGGAAGCUUGGCCCCAGUGAUGUACUGGGCCAUACGCAUUACCCCCUGUAGUGCCUCGUGGUCGGAUGCCGAGCAGUUUCAUUACAAGGUGGUGAUACAACCGGUCAGGAUGCUCUCGAUGGUGCAGCUGUAGAACUUUGAGGAUAUGGGGACCCAUGCCAAAUCUUUUCAGUCUCCUGAGGGGGAAAAAGUGUUUUCGUGCCCUCUUCAAAACUGUGUUGGUGUGUUUGGACCAUGAUAGUUUGUUGGUGAACUUGAAAAUCUCGAUCCGCUCCACUACAGCCCUGUCAAUGUUAAUGGGGCCCUGUUUGGCACACCUUUUUCCUGUAGUCCAAGAUCAGCUCUUUUGUCUUGCUCACAUUGAGGGUAGAGGUUGUUGGCCUGGCACCACACUGCCAGGUCUCUGACCUCCUCCCUAUAGGCUGUCUCAUCGUUGUUGAUGAUCACUGUUGUGUCGUCAGCCAACUUAAUGAUGGUGUUGGAGUCAUGUUUGGCCAUGCAGUCGUGGGUGAACAGGGAGUACAGGAGGGGACUCAGCAUGCACCCCUGAGGAGCCCACGUGUUGAGGAUCAGCGUGGCAGAUGUGUUGUUGCCUACCCUCCCCACCUGGGGGCGGCCCGUCAGGAAGUCCAGGAUCCAGUUGCAGAGGGAGGUGUUUAGUCCCAGGGUCCUCAUUUUAGUGAUGAGCUUUGUGGGCACUUUGGUGUUGAACGCUGAGCUGUAGUCAAUGAACAGCAUUCUCACAUAGGUGUUCCUUUUGUCCAGGUGGGAAAUGGCAGUGUGGAGUGCGAUUGAGAUUGCGUCAUCUGUGGAUCUGUUGGGGUGGUAUGCAAAUUGGAGUGCGUCUAGGGUUUCCGGCAUGAUGAUGUUGUCAGACAUGACCAACCUUUCAAAGCACUUCAUGGCUACCAACAUGAGUGCUACGGGCACUCAUUUAGGCAGGUUACCUACAGACUCGGUCAGAGACAGUUUGAAAAUGUCAGUGAAGACACUUGCCAGUUGGUUCGCACAUGCUUUGAGUACACAUCCUGGUAAUCCAUCUGGCCCCGCGGUUUUGAGAAUGUUGACCUGUUUAAAGGUCUUGCUCACAUCGGCUAACGAGAGCAUGAUCACACUCCGGAACAGCUGGUGCUCUCAUGCAUGCUUCAGUGUUGCUUGCCUCAGAGUGAGUAUACAAUGUAUUUAGCCCGUCUGGUAUGCUCUCGUCACUGGGCAGCUCACAGCUGGGUUUCCUUCUGUAUCCUGUAAUAUACCACUACUUCUGUCAUUUACCAUCUCUGUUUUAGAACCAUUUUCACAUUAGCUAUGGGUGCUAUAAAGCUGUGUGAUUUUUAAAUGAUAAACCUCUUCAUUUUAUUGAUGAUAUUUAAUAAUCCUUAGAGCAGAAACACAGGGCAGAGUCAGACAUGUAACUGAGGCAUGAAGGCAGAAACACAGGGCAGAGUCAGACAUGUAACUGAGGCAUGAAGGCAGAAACACAGGGCAGAGUCAGACAUGUAACUGAGGCAUGAAGUCAGAAACACAGGGCAGAGUCUGACAUGCAACAGGCCGAAAUGUAAUACGUCUUAAUAUUAUUCUAUCAUAAAGAAGCAACACCAUUCAUUUGUCUUUAGUUAUAUUGUUGCACAGAAAAACAAGAACAUAUGAUAUUAAAGUGAUGCAUAGAAAAUCUAUUUCACUAAAGCAUUAAGCAUCAGCUGUUUUUUCAGGCAUGAUUUCAAAAUACAGGAAAAAUAAAUACUGUCCUCAAAAUGAAAACCAAGUGGUUAUUAAUACAAUCUAACAUAAAAAACACAAUAGAAGUUUGUUAUCAUGUCAUCUACAAUUUUCUCUAUACUGAAAAUCAGUUAUACCGUACAUUCAAAAACAUGAAUACUUUUUGUAAAUUCUGUUCAAAAAUACAAAAUCUGUGAUUAUUGAUGUAGUCUAGAACAGUAGAAGAACAGUUUUCAUUGUCACAGAAAGACUUAAGAGACAACACUAAUAUACACAUACCGUAUGUGUCGUCUUAAUGCCCCCAUAACAGGAAACUCUAUUUACUCAGCUGCCUGUAAAUGCAUUCAGCUAUGAAGAAACACAACAAAACAACGACUCAUUUUGGCUCAAAGACCCGAGAAGCUCUGGAUCUAGGGCAAGAUGGCAGUGACGGGAGAGGAAAAAGUGUUGACAUAACUGGUUCUAGAAUAUUUACAAGACAUUGUCUUCAAACAUUCAGAAAUCGACGCAGUAGUAAAAUCAUGACGUCAUCACCAUGGCACCAUAGUGUAGUGGCUGACGCACAGACUUCUGUGUCGUGAUUUCGCGAUGGGUUGGCAUGGCAGGGAUCGGAGUAGAAUAUGGACAAACUGUAUGGGAAUACAUAGUCCACCCCUGCAAUAUGGGUGAACACUAGCAUGUUGAUAUCUGGCAUUGUCCUACAUCAGAUAGUGUGUCGAUUCCACCUGCGGUUGAGGGACGAGCGACGUAGGAGUGACGCCACCUGACGUAAGUCAAUGGAUAUCUGGAGCGAGUCAAAAGAACAUAGGCUCAUUGAAUUAGGAAUGUUGAACUGUACUGCACUUAAACAGAGUUGGCACGUCUACAAUAAGUAUUGCCAGUAACACUAGUGGAUUGUGCUAUUGGCUGUGCGAUUCUGGGGCCUGAGCAGAGCUGUGUAAUUGGGUCAGGGAGGAGGAGGAGAAAGGUGUGAUGUAAAUAAUUGUUGUAAGCAAACGUCGGCUCCGGUGGCUGCCAGGUCAGUCCCAGAAGAGGUCGUUAGAGAAACAUACAUGUGUAAGCUGAUCUGUGAGCUGUGAGAAAUCCCGGCCCGGCACUCUGUUCUGCUGUUAUGGCUGACACUACUUUAGCAUUACAGAGCAGGCCAUGCAGCAGGCCGUGUAGCAGGCAAUGUAGACCCAACAUUCACCUAGAGAGCCACAGGGCUACAGGAAACAGGCCUGCCCUGAAUAGACACUAUUUACACACAUCUAGACGUGGCACAGGAGCUGGGCUAUAACACAGCCACUUACUUGACACAGUCAUACCUCACAUGGUAAUUAAUGGUAGAGUGGUAGCACUCUAAUGGUAGAGUGCUGGCUAACGCUUUAGCUAUUCCAGGCUCCGUGCUUUGUUUGUCUCUAGGUCUCUAUGACCACUUAGAGGGUGUAGAGUAUUACAGGGUUUCUCUGGUCUCUAUGACCACUGAGGAGGUGUAGAGUAUUACAGGGUUUCUCUGGUCUCUAUGACCACUGAGGGGGUGUAGAGUAUUACAGGGUUUCUCUGGUCUGAGUGUACUCUGAGUGUGCCUAAUACACUGACCACUGAGUGUGCCUAAUACACUGACCACUGAGUGUACCUAAUACACUGACCACUGUGUGUACCUAAUACACUGACCACUGUGUGUACCUAAUACACUGACCACUGUGUGUACCUAAUACACUGACCACUGUGUGUACCUAAUACACUGACCACUGUGUGUACCUAAUACACUGACCACUGUGUGUACCUAAUACACUGACCACUGUGUGUACCUAAUACACUGACCAGUGUGUACCUAAUAAACUGACCACUGUGUGUACCUAAUAAACUGACCACUGAGUGCACAUCCUCUACACUUACAAAUCAUUCAAAAUGACUUAACUGGCUGCAUCGUCCACAGAAACAGUUAAUUCAUUAUGACAGCUGGUGCUGGUUCGGAACCCACAAGGAAAUCUCCAGUCCAAUUCUUAGAUUUUGUCAGCAGUUUGUGAGUGCAUUGUUUAAUUUGUUCAGAUUCUAGAACACAUUGCUCAUUCAGGCAAGUCAAUGGGUUCAUUGGAAAGCUGAGUGGAGCUGAAGGGUAGGACUAAAAAUAACAAGAUAAACUAAAGUAAAAUGUAUUUACAGUAGGUUCAGAAGUUUGGUGAAACAGCACAGUUGGCAAGUAUAUGGCAAAUAGAAAUACAAUCUGGGUGGUCUUCAGAGAUAAAUGGGAGGGGUUGAGAAUAGCUUAAGGAUGGGACUAAAAACAAACAAAAGAUUACUAUUGUAAAAUACAUUACAUCCGUAAAAUGUAUAAAAAUAACCUCACAAUCAACGUCAACAAAACAAAGGAGAUGAUCGUGGACUUCAGGAAACAGCAGAGGGAGCACCCCCCUAUCCACAUCGACGGGACAGUAGUGGAGAGGGUAGUAAAGUUAAGACAGAUAGACAGACAGGCAGGCAGCGCCUCUUCAACCUCAGGAGGCUGAAGAAAUUUGACUUGUCACCAAAAGCACUCACAAACUUUUACAGAUGCACAAUCGAGAGCAUCCUGUCGAGCUGUAUCACCGCCUGGUACGGCAACUGCUCCGCCCACAACCGUAAGGCUCUCCAGAGGGUAGUGAGGUCUGCACAACGCAUCGCCGGGGGCAAAUUACCUGCCCUCCAGGACACCUACACCCCCCGAUGUCACAGGAAGGCCAAAAAGAUCAUCAAGGACAACAACCACCCGAGCCACUGCCUGUGCACCCCGCUAUCAUCCAGAAGGUGAGGUCAGUACAGGUGCAUCAAAGCUGGGACAGAGAGACUGAAAAACAGGUUCUAUCUCAAGUCCAUCAGACUGUUAAACAGUCACCACUAACAUAACAGUGCUGCCAACAUACUGACUCAACUCCAGCCACUUUAAUAAUGGAAAAUUAAUGUAAUAAAUGUAUCACUAGCCACUUUAAACAAUGUCACUUAAUAUAAUGUUUACAUACCCUACAUUACUCAUUUCAUAUGCAUAUACUGUACUCUAUACCAUCUACUGCACUUUGCCAUCUUUAUGUAAUACAUGUAUCACUAGCCACUUUAAACAAUGCCACUUUUAUGUUUACAUACCCUACAUUACUCAUCUCAUAUGUGUAUAUACUGUACUCGAUACCAUCUACUGCAUCUUGCCUAUGCCGUUCUGUACCAUCACUCAUCCAUAUAUCUUUAUGUACAUAUUCUUUAUCCCUUUACACUUGUGUGUAUAAGGUAGUUGUUGUGAAAUUGUUAGGUUUCUCCAUUACUCGUUGGUUAUUACUGCAUUGUCGGAACUAGAAGCACAAGCAUUUCGCUACACUCGCAUUAACAUCUGCUAACCAUGUGUAUGUGACAAAUACAAUUUGAUUUGAUUUAGUAUGUACAAGCUGGAAGUAGAAGCCUAAGAGUUGCUGUUCACUAGUUACUCCAAUUAGGGGAGGGAUGGUAGACUCCAGUGUGAUGAGAGAGAAUUCUGCAACCUAUAGGUUUAAUGUAUAGUUAUUAAUGGACAAGUCAGAAAUGUCAACAAUGCUCAUCAUUGUACACACACACACACACACACACACACACACACACACACACACACACACACACACACACACACACACACACACACACACACACAAACAACUAUUUUCUUGAAACAAAAGACAAGAGAAUAAAAAGAUGAUAGCUUUGCCAAUAAACAUGUUUCUCCAUAGAAGAGCGUGUCCUAGAGGGAAACCGUAGUUAUAAAGCCCCCAGCAGUGUGGUCCAUAUCACCCACUGUUGUUCUGAGCCUCUGCUAAGACCUCCAGAGGACUAGUCUGUUCAUUUAUGAACUAUGACAUACAAUGAGCGCCAAACAUAUUGGGACAGUGACACAUUUUCGGGUUGUUUUGGCUCUGUACUCCAGCGCUUUGAAUUUGAAAUGAUACAAUGACUAUGAGAUUAACGUGCAGGUUGUCAGCUUUCAAUUGAGGGUAUUUUCAUCCAUAUCGGAUGAACCGUUUAGAAAUUAUUAAAGUAGUAAAAAGUUAAGCAUUUGGUCCCAACAAGCUUGUGACUCUACCAAUUGGUUAGAUACAUUUUCUGUUAGUUUUGGUUGUGUUUCAGAUAAUUUUGUGCCCAAUAGAAAUGAAUGGUAAAUAAUGUAUUGUGUCAUUUUGGAGUCACUUUUAUUGUAAAUAAGAAUAUAAUAUGUUUCUAAACACAUCUACAUUAAUGUGGAUGUUACCAUGAUUACGGAUAAUCCUGAAUGAAUCGUGAAUAAUGAUGAGUGAGCAAGUCACAGAUGCACAAAUAUCAUACCCCCGCCAAAAAAUGCUAAUCUCCCCUGUAAUUGUAAUGGUGAAAGGUUAGCAUACCUCUUGGAGGUAUGAUAUUGGUGCGUCUAACUUUCUCAAUACUUUUGUAGCUCACUAUAUUACCCCACUGGGUCCUUUUUAAAUGAUGGUAUAUUAAUACAUUAUACUGCUAAAUGACGGUAUAUUAAUACAUUAUACUGCUAAAUGACGGUAUAUUAAUACAUUAUACUGCUAAAUGACGGUUUAUUAAUAAAUUAUACUGCUAAAUGACG